rnacentral:misc_RNA from 1 species
CUUUUCAGGAGGGUCCCCACUCUGAUUUCACAGGACCAACUGCAGGAAGCACAGCCUGUGUGGCAGUCAUCAGAAACAACCAACUCAUUGUCGCAAAUGCUGGCGAUUCACGUUGUGUUCUAUCAAGGAACGGUCAGGCAUACGACAUGUCAAAGGAUCAUAAGCCAGAACUUGAGGUUGAGAGAGAAAGGAUAUUAAAAGCGGGGGGUUUUAUCCAUGCAGGACGAGUUAAUGGGAGUUUAAAUCUUGCAAGAGCAAUCGGCGACAUGGAACUCAAGCAAAACAAGUUUUUGCCAGCCGAGAAACAAAUUUUAACUGCCAAUCCCGACAUAAAUACAGUGGAUCUUUGUGAGGAUGACGACUUUGUCGUUCUAGCAUGUGACGGUGUCUGGGAUUGCAUGACAAGCCAGCAACUGGUGGAUUUCAUCCAUGAGCAUAUCAACAAAGAGAGCUCCCUAUCUGCUGUUUGCGAGAGAGUGCUCGACAGGUGCCUGGCACCGUCGACGGCUGGCUGGGAGGGAUGUG